CUGGGUGGUGUCCAGGGUCACUAACCUAUAUAUACUCAGCAGAUGGUGUUGCUGCCUCAGUCUUGGGUCAUCCUCUCCAGCCAUCAGUGCCAACAUCGUCAGUAUGAGUCGCAUCACAGUCGCCGCCGCUCUUGUAGUAAUUGUUUGCUUCCUGCAACUAUCAGAAGCCAACCCUCAACAUGGCUUCCCUGGCAGCAGAUACCCGGGUAGUGGUGGCUUUAUUGGAAGAUUUCCAGGAGGUGGAGGCAUCGGGGGUAGAUUUCCUGGCAGUGGAGGCAUUAUUGGCGGGGGCAGAUUUCCAGGUGGUGGACACCAUGGACAUCAUGGACAUCAUGGACAUCGCGGAUAAAGCCAAAGGAGACGUUGGUAGUCAAGGUGGUAAGGAAGUCGGUGGCUUUAAAGGAUGGUAUUGCGCUUCAAGAAACUGCCAACUCAGGACCUUUACUGAGUUUGGCAGGAGAGACAUUCAGUCGAGGAUUCUUCACCUCGGAGAACUUCCCUGACUUGGUGUUGAUCAACAACGAACUCUUCACCAUCAGUCCUGGUGCUGUAGCAGGUAACAAGAGCAGCACUGCUGCUGCUGUUUUUCCCAUUGUAAAUUCAGCCUAGUUGACCAAGAAUGAGCCACGACCAUCACCAACCUGGUCUACAUAAUGGCAUAUGACAAAUUUGCUUUUCAAUAGAUAUAAGCAAAACAGUUUAAAAUGGAAAAUGAAACAGCCCUUCGGGAGCUUGUAAUAAGUCUGCUAGUGAACCUUGUUUUAAGUAGCUUUUCCUCAUACACAUUGUUCCUUUGAAAGGUAUUCUAACUACAUUGAUGCUUAUUAUUUACAUUAAAAGCACAAGCUGUGUAAAUUCAAGCUUGAACGUUAAGAUUAAAUUAUUUUUAUAUGUUUCUUGAGUUUACAUCAGCUUUUGUAUUUUUUUGGUGAUUUACUGAAUAUAUGGCAAUAAAUAUUUAUUUUCAA